UUUAUGGUGGCCAAGUGGUAAGGCGUUGGUCUUGUAAACCAAAGAUCAUACGUUCCAAUCUUGUCUGUGCCU